rnacentral:ncRNA from 2 species
AUGAGUGGCCCGGGAGAGUUCGCCCGGUUGUGGGCGGAGCCGAAGGGGAAUGCAAAAGCUCUCAGGCAAAAGGAUCGGGCCAUGACG